rnacentral:rRNA from 1 species
CCCAGACUCCUACGGGAGGCAGCAGUGAGGAAUAUUGGUCAAUGGGCUUACGCCUGAACCAGCCAAGUCGCGUGAGGGAAGACGGUCCUAUGGAUUGUAAACCUCUUUUGUCGGGGAGCAAAAGACGCCACGUGUGGCGUUCCGAGAGUACCCGAAGAAAAAGCAUCGGCUAACUCCGUGCCAGCAGCCGCGGUAAUACGGAGGAUGCGAGCGUUAUCCGGAUUUAUUGGGUUUAAAGGGUGCGUAGGCGGGCAUUUAAGCCGGCGGUCAAAUGUCGGGGCUCAACCCCGGCCUGCCGUCGGAACUGGGUGCCUUGAGUGGGCGAGAAGUAUGCGGAAUGCGUGGUGUAGCGGUGAAAUGCAUAGAUAUCACGCAGAACCCCGAUUGCGAAGGCAGCAUACCGGCGCCCUACUGACGCUGAGGCACGAAAGUGCGGGUGUCGAACAGGAUUAGAUACCCGUGUA